GGAAGAUCAGGCAAUGCUUCAUGGGAAAAAGGGUCUCACUGUGUCAUCCAGGCUGGAGUGCAGUGGUGCAAUCUCGGCUCACCACGACCUCCACCUCCUGGGUUCAAGUGAUUCUCCUACUUCAUCCUCCCAAGUAGCUGGGACUACAGCCAGAGACAGACUCCCAGACUCGGCCAGAGGCUGAUGCCAACUCCUUCCAGCUCUCACGGUAACCAUGAGGCCCCUGCGUGUUUCUGUUGUGGAGGUCCCAGAGGGAACUGUAUGGACAGACACAGCCCGAAGGGCCAUCUGCCUCAAGCCACAGCAGCACAGAAUUCUAAAGAUUGUGGGGAAGGAUGGGGCCAAGGGGACCAGAUGUGCAGAGGUAAUGAAUACCAGGGAAUCAGGAAACCACUGGAUCAGUUCUUUGAGCCACAGAACAACACUCAUCCCAGCAGCUGGGAAGCUAUCUGCAAAAGUCCAUCUGCAGAAAGGGCUUCCUGGUCUUGCGUGUGGCUGGGCCAUUUCUCUGGAUGCAGGUUUUUCAUUAUACAGUCUUCUCAAAGAACCACCUGCUCUCAACACC
rnacentral:lncRNA from 1 species